GACGAACGCUGGCGGCGUGCCUAACACAUGCAAGUCGAACGGAGUAGAGACUUCGGUUUUUACUUAGUGGCGAACGGGUGAGUAACGCGUGAGAAACCUGCCUUUCAGUGGGGGACAACAGUUGGAAACGACUGCUAAUACCGCAUAACAUAUCGAGGGGGCAUCCUCUUGAUAUCAAAGCUUUAUGUGCUGAGAGAUGGUCUCGCGUCUGAUUAGCUAGAUGGCGGGGUAACGGCCCACCAUGGCGACGAUCAGUAGCCGGUCUGAGAGGAUGAACGGCCACAUUGGGACUGAGAUACGGCCCAGACUCCUACGGGAGGCAGCAGUGGGGAAUAUUGGGCAAUGGGGGAAACCCUGACCCAGCAACGCCGCGUGAAGGAAGAAGGCCUUCGGGUUGUAAACUCCUGUCCUCAGGGAAGAGCAAGAGACGGUACCUGAGGAGGAAGCCCGGCUAACUACGUG
rnacentral:rRNA from 1 species